rnacentral:rRNA from 1 species
UACGGAGGGUGCGAGCGUUGUCCGGAAUCACUGGGCGUAAAGGGCGCGUAGGCGGCGCGGAUAGUCGGCGGUGAAAGCCCGGAGCUCAACUCCGGGUCGGCCGUCGAUACUUCCGGGCUUGAGCACUGUAGAGGCAGAUGGAAUUCCGGGUGUAGCGGUGGAAUGCGUAGAGAUCCGGAAGAACACCGGUGGCGAAGGCGGUCUGCUGGGCAGUUGCUGACGCUGAUGCGCGACAGCGUGGGGAGCAAACGAGGAUUAGAG